UUACACAUGCAAGUCGAACGGCAGCACGGACUUCGGUCUGGUGCAUGGCGAACGGGUGAGUAAUGUAUCGGAACGUGCCUAGUAGCGGGGGAUAACUACGCGAAAGCGUAGCUAAUACCGCAUACGCCCUACGGGGGAAAGCAGGGGAUCGCAAGACCUUGCACUAUUAGAGCGGCCGAUAUCGGAUUAGCUAGUUGGUGGGGUAACGGCUCACCAAGGCGACGAUCCGUAGCUGGUUUGAGAGGACGACCAGCCACACUGGGACUGAAACACGGCCCAGACUCCUACGGGAGGCAGCAGUGGGGAAUUUUGGACAAUGGGGGAAACCCUGAUCCAGCCAUCCCGCGUGUGCGAUGAAGGCCUUCGGGUUGUAAAGCACUUUUGGCAGGAAAGAAACGUUCCGGGUUAAUACCCCGGGAAACUGACGGUACCUGCAGAAUAAGCACCGGCUAACUACGUGCCAGCAGCCGCGGUAAUACGUAGGGUGCAAGCGUUAAUCGGAAUUACUGGGCGUAAAGCGUGCGCAGGCGGUUCGGAAAGAAAGAUGUGAAAUCCCAGAGCUUAACUUUGGAACUGCAUUUUUAACUACCGAGCUAGAGUGUGUCAAAGGGAGGUGGAAUUCCGCGUGUAGCAGUGAAAUGCGUAAUAUGCGGAGGAACACCGAUGGCGAAGGCAGCCUCCUGGGAUAACACUGACGCUCAUGCAC
rnacentral:rRNA from 1 species